rnacentral:miRNA from 1 species
UUGCAUAGCCUUAUUAGUGGCCU